CCUACGGGAGGCAGCAGUGAGGAAUAUUGGUCAAUGGACGCAAGUCUGAACCAGCUAUGCCGCGUGCAGGAAGACGGCCCUAUGAGUUGUAAACUGCUUUUGUACGAGGGUAAACGCAGAUACGCGUAUCUGUCUGAACGUAUCGUACGAAUAAGGAACGGCUAACUCCGUGCCAGCAGCCGCGGUAAUACGGAGGAUUCAAGCGUUAUCCGGAUUUAUUGGGUUUAAAGGGUGCGUAGGCGGUCGGAUAAGUUAGAGGUGAAAUCCCGGGGCUCAACUUCGGAAUUGCCUCUGAUACUGUUCGGCUAGAGAGUAGUUGCGGUAGGCGGAAUGUAUGGUGUAGCAGUGAAAUGCUUAGAUAUCAUACAGAACACCGAUUGCGAAGGCAGCUUACCAAGCUACUUCUGACGUUGAGGCACGAAAGCGUGGGGAGCAAACAGGAUUAGAUACCCCAGUAGUC
rnacentral:rRNA from 1 species